rnacentral:rRNA from 1 species
GACGAACGCUGGCGGCGUGCUUAACACAUGCAAGUCGAACGGAAAGGCCCUGCUUUUGUGGGGUGCUCGAGUGGCGAACGGGUGAGUAACACGUGAGUAACCUGCCCUUGACUUUGGGAUAACUUCAGGAAACUGGGGCUAAUACCGGAUAGGAGCUCCUGCUGCAUGGUGGGGGUUGGAAAGUUUCGGCGGUUGGGGAUGGACUCGCGGCUUAUCAGCUUGUUGGUGGGGUAGUGGCUUACCAAGGCUUUGACGGGUAGCCGGCCUGAGAGGGUGACCGGCCACAUUGGGACUGAGAUACGGCCCAGACUCCUACGGGAGGCAGCAGUGGGGAAUAUUGCACAAUGGGCGGAAGCCGGAUGCAGCAACGUCGCGUGCGGGAUGACGGCCUUCGGGUUGUAAACCGCUUGCGCAUGUGACGAAGCGUGAGUGACGGUAAUGGGUAAAGAAGCACCGGCUAACUACGUG